rnacentral:misc_RNA from 1 species
GUGAAUCAUCGAAUUUUUGAACGCAAAUUGCGCCUUCUUCUGAACGCAUGUCUGUUUGUGUUCACCAUUUAACUAAUAAUUUGCAUUUUGUUUGCACACGUUGAUGAGCUUUCCAAAAUUAUGUAUUAUUAUUUUUUAUGGCGCAUAAUAAACAGCGCUAUUCUUUUUUUCAGUUCGAGAGUUUUAAAAUUUUUUCUUGCUUUGGUUGUAA